rnacentral:lncRNA from 1 species
GUAACCCCCUUGGAUCCCCUUCCACACUGUGGGAGGUUUGUUCUUUUGCUCUUUGCAAUAAAGCUUGCUGCUGCUCACUCUUUGGGUCCAGACUGUCUUUAUGAGCUAUAACACUCACCGGGAAGGUCUGCAGCUUCACUCCUGAAGCCAAGGAGACCACGAACCCACCGGGAGGAAGGAACAACUACAGACACGCCGGCUUAAGAGCUGUAGCACUCACUGCGAAGGUCCGCAGCUUCACUCUUGAGCCAGAGACCACGAACCCACCAGAAGGAAGAAACUCCAAACACAUCCGAACAUCAGAAGGAAAAAACUCCAGACACGCCGCCUUUAAGAACUGCAACACUGCGAGGGUCCGCGGCUUCAUUCUUGAAGUCAGUGAGACCAAGAACCCACCAAUUCCAGACACACUACCAAAGGCAGAGGGGAGCUCCUAGACAAAGACAGAGUCUCUCACUGUCGCCUGGGCUGAAGUGCAAUGGCAUGAUCUCGGCUCACUGCAACCUCCACCUCCCGGGUUCAAGCGAUUCUCCUGCCUCAGCCUCCUGAGUAGCUGGGAUUACAGGGGCCCAUCACCACACCCAGCUAAUUUUUUGUAUUUUUAGUCGAGAUGGGGUUUCACUAUGUUGGCCAGGCUGGUCUUGAACUCCUGACCUCAUGAUCCACCUGUCUCAGCCUCCCAAAGUGCUGGGAUUACAGGCGUGAGCCACCGGGCCCAGCCAUAUUAGUUAUUCUUAAGAAAAUAUGAUAGCUAAAACAUUCAAUGUGUUAAAUAUUUAUAAUCAAGAUUUACGAAAACAAAAGAAAACCUGUAGAAGUCAAUGUAUGUAAAAGACAACAACUAGGCUUGUCUCUGAUUUAACCUAUGGCCACAAUACCAUACUUCUGUUGGAAGUUGGCUAUAAAGUCUUCAUCUACCUAUUUAUUUAAAAUUUAAAAAAACCCGACAGAUUGCUCAUUACGUUACAUGCAUGUUACCAUGCAGUGUGCUGUGUCAGGUGCAGCACAUACAAACAUGAAUAAUACACACAUUAUACUAAAGAAUUCCAAAGAAUUUCUGAUUUAUCUGAUUAGAGACAGGCACAUAAAUUUUAAUGUGCAUUAAAAUUUUAGUUCAAAUGUAGCUGGGAUCCCAAUGGUGUUUUUUUUUUUUUUUUUUUUUUCCACUCUGCACUGACCUGGAGAAUGUAACACCUUAACAAGUAGUCUAUUCCCUAAAAAUAUCACUCCCAGAGUCAUAGAUUUUAUUGAAAUGUCAAGGAAUACACGGAAAAUUUAUUUCCCUUGUACACUAUAUGACAACACAUUAUAGACGAUAGUUGUUUAGAUAGAUAUAUGGACAGAUGGAUAAAUAAUCUGUUUUCUCUUCUCAAGAGAUAUUCUCUGGUCACCAGCUCUAUCACUACAUCACCUUUUACAUUUUCCUUUCCCUGUCCACAAAUAGCAUCUAGAGUUGUUCUUCAUAACUAAAUAAUUCAAUGCUAUCUUUCAGCUUGCAUAUGCCACAGAGCAAAACAAAAGCUGCAUAGGUACUGGCAUAACCUAGGAUUCUCGGAAAGCUCACACCAAUCAAUUGAUUAUCCCUUGUAUUCCAAGUGUUUCAAGGAUAGGAUCAUCUCCAACACAUCUUUUUACUGAGCUAAUAGAGUGGAAGAGUAAUUGGAAAUUUUGAUGCUAAGAAAAACAAGAUUUUUUUCCUUAUGUGAACUCAAUACAGUACAUUUUCUGUAAAAAAAAAAAAAGUAUGAACUGGAAACAUUAGACAAUUGUGUACAGAUGGGCACAUUUAGCUACAUAUGAGGCUAAGAUUGUGUCUGAGCAAAGGAUGUAACAAUUGAGUAGCACAGUAUUUCAUAUCUGUUACUAGAUGGAAAAUUCUUUAAUACAUUAUCCAUGUCUCACUUAUUUUUCUGUUACAUACUAUGAUAACACCUUACAAAUGAGAAGUGUUACAACAUUUGUGUGGAAAAAGGAAAAAUACAGCUAAUUAUACUCUGUGAGCCCUCUUUUCAGUUGUCUUAUUGAAUUUGACAGCUUGUUAUUUAACUGGGAAAGUUACUAACUUUUAUAAUAUGUGUAGUUGAGAGCUCCUCAGUGCAAUGUUGGGAGAAGAUUCUCUAUGGGCCUCUGUGGGUUUUGCAUCUUUUCUGAGCAUAGAGAUUAUGUUAGUUAUCUCUUGCUAUGCUGUCUUCUGCUGAGGGUUCCUCAAGGCUCCAAGUAAGGUGUUGGCCUCUCUGCUGGAGUUUCAUGUAGGGAGGAUCUGCUUUGGUUUCGUGUAGCUGUAUAAAUGAAAGCUCCAGCUUCUUACUGGCUGUAGGUUGGAAAUUUGUCUUAUAACAUAGAGGACAUCAGUAGUUACUUGCCACAUGGCCUUCUCCAUAGACAGUCAUAGCAAUUUGCUUCAGGACCAGUAAGAAAGACUGGUGCCUGCUGUAAAUAUGGAGUAAUAUACAUAAUACAUUAUGUAUCAUAUAGCAUAUAACAUAUAAUGGAUAACAUGGAAUACAGCAUAUGCCUAUUGUGUAUACUGCAACCAAAUCAAAGAGAGUUGUCUUUUCUACCUAAGUAGUUUUACUUCAUAGACUAAACUAGUAUUCCAAAAUUUAAGUAAAUUAAAAAAAAAUUGUUCAAAGAAGGAAUUUAAUUUAAAUAUAUCUAUAAAAAUAGCAUGAUAUUUUGCCUUUAUUAUUCUAGUAAGGGUACAUUCUUGUAUUUAAAUAUUUUUAUUUUCAGGUAUAUAGUAAUUACAUGUUAGAUUCUGUUAUAUAGUGUUUAUUACAUCCAGCUAUUUGUAGAGUUCUAUUUAGCUUAUCCUCUCAUUGAACUGUAAAGCAACAAAUAUAAUUAUUCUAUUACAAAAUUUGGUAUUUGUACAUUAACUCAAGGAUACGAGUUAGGGGAAAAAAUAUCUUCAGACAUUUUGUAAAUUGGCAUUAGUUUCCAUUUUUCUGAGUAGCUGGGACUACAGGUGUCCACCACCACACCUGGCUAAUUUUUGUACUUUUAAUAGAGACAGGGUUUCACCAUAUUGGCCAGGCUGGUCUGGAACUCCUGACCUUGUGAUCUGCCCACCUCGGCCUCCCAAAGUGCUGGGAUUACAGGCAUGAGCCACCGCGCCCAGCUCCAUUUUUCUGAAGAGAUAUUUUUGUUCUGUUCUUAAGCAAUUAAAAAUAUGUUCAUGAACAUUAAGAAAUAUGUAAUUAAUUUUAUUGGUCUUCUGGUAUUUAGGAGUUUCUUCUCUACAUUUAUUCUCUCUUUCUCACAUUACCUUUAAGAAGCUUAGUUCAGAGAAGAUGGUCUCUUAUAUUAAGCUACAUUUAUCCACAUAUCUGCAAGUCUUGGGAGUAUGGUUCUAAGUACCCUUUGUGUUGGAUUAUCUUUUCACAGAUGUUUAUGUUGCAAAUCACCUUGAAAGAUAUAGUGACUCCAUCCAGAGCAAAGCACAGGCAUGCUUCCUGACUAUUAUGAGAGAGUCCAGUUUCCAAAGCUCAGAGUUUCUUACCUAUAACAAACCCACCUCCUGCCUAAGUAUCCCCUGUCCCUCUUUGUGUCACUCCAUGGAAAUUGGUACUUCAGAAUUCAGUGUAAAAAAGUGCUGGUACUCUGGCUGCUGCUUUUGUUGUCAGAAAUAGACUGUCAAAAGUCUCUAACCCAGUGGUUUCGUUUAUUCUGCAGCAUCCUUAAAACUGUGCCAGGCUGACUUGUUAGAUUGCGAGUGGGUGAAGUCUUACCCACUUCACAGUGUAUAAGUGAUCUUCUCACUUAGAGAGGCUUAUGACAGUUACCCUAAGUCAACACAGAAUGAGUCUCAGUAGCAAUAAUGGAACUCAAAUUUAACAAAGCAGAAUGACUUCUCACCCUAGUAAUAUUUUACUUCAACCUAAUUAAAUACAUUUAUAUAUUUAAAGAGAGAAAACAUGGAUCUGAAGAGAUGCAAGAAAGAGCUUAUCAAAAAAAUCGAAGAAAGCUACUUUUUAGAUGUAAAGCAAA